UUUCAAGAUCCUUGGGGAAGCUAUUGUCCAGCAAUGCACGACUUGGCUGAUAACUUAUUUCGUAGGCCUGUAGUUGACUUAGUUCAGAUAUGUUUGCCAUGAGGCUAGUUUGACAGACCGUAAGCGAACUGCCAAAACACGAGCUGUUAUUAAAAAAAUACUAGUUCAUGGAAUAGAGCUUCAGAGCAACAGCCUACUGCCCCGCUCGUGUAAAUUCGCCUUUCAGCACACAGUUUCGUUCGUAGCGUAGGUGCGAUGCACAAUCGUUCACUGAUUACGCGACCUUACUCCCGAUUGUGCGGGAUCAAAGCGAUCGCUCACAAAGGGUUAUAAAAUGUCGCGUCAACUACGGGCUGUUCGAUUAAUUACACCCGUAAUCAUUGAUGUUUGAGAACUCUUUGUGUAAACAAAAUUUAGGUUUGUAACAUCUGCUGUAAAGCUGUGAUUACUAGAUUAAUUAUGUUUGGUAAUACCUAUUACCUAAUAACAUAAGGUCGUUCAAGAAUUGUUUCACUUCAGUAUAAAUAUCGCGCCAGUUCUUAUGAAUCAACCUAUACAUAAGUUUAAACAACGAGGUGAAUUUAAUUAACACAACACCACCAACAGUACAAUAUUACAAUUUUUUAUUUUUCACUUUACCAUUAAACGAUGACAUCUGAUAUUUUAUUGUAGGUGCUUUACUUCAAUAUUUAAUUUUUAAUAUACAUAUAGAGCAACAUACUUGUAACUUUAUAUGUUAAUAAUAUAACCCCGUUUUAGUACUCGGCAAGUCUAGUCGGACUAGUGUCCAAAAGCGUUAUUUACAACCUCUCACUAAUGCAGGCGAGCCGAGCGUUUAGGAAACCAAUGUUAUCUCCGAUUAUUAAGAGUAGUUGCGGAUCUCGAAGUCGGAAUUACACGAACCACAGGAGGGCUAGCGAUGUCGCGUGCGAGAUUUAUCUACUUUUUUGGCACUGCACUGUGACUAGAUAGUUUUUCGCCUGCGAGACAUUCCAAUACAUCACAGAUUGUCGUUAAAUCACUCAUUUGUGAUCAUUUUACAUCACUACUCGUAUAGUUCCUUAUAAGUAAAGAAACGUUGUCGUGGUGUUGAUGUCGGUGGUCAAUCGUAAGAUCAGGUAGAUUGUGGAAUUUCUAGACAUAUCGAAAACCUUAUAAUCUUUGUCUCGUUCCCUGAGUCAACGGAGCCCCGCGGAUAUGUCUGGGCAAUAUGCCCUUCGGGCAUCUGAAGUAACCUAACGAACCUAUCUCGUGGAAAGAACAUUCUUUUUUUCAAUUCUGUUAUGUAUGUAAAAGGGUCGUUCGUAAGUGUAUGCAAACGGUGGCUGCGUCCACCGUCAUUCUCGGAAAUAUAUUAGUUCGUAAAUUGCUGCCUUGCGUUUGACUUUGCUCCCCGUUCCAAUAUUUAUCCAAUUCUCUUCAGAGAAUUUUCAAAAAUGGAAAAUUCCUCUAAUUUUGUUGUAAUUUUCUACAACUUUCCAAACUUUUUAGAAAUUUUCUGCAACUUGCAUAUCUGUUCAUUAAGGGUUCGACUCGCCCAUGCUCAGUAAGUAACGGCCUGUCCAGUCCACCGCUGCCAAUUGCCCAAGCACACAUGGCGCGCAUAGCUAUAUUAACGGGUAAUUAAAGUCAAUGCGAUUCGGUGCGCGUGCGUUGGAAAGUGAGUGGCCAGUUUGAAUAUGGAACUUGGAACGCAAUCGUUGUCUAACUUAGGCAUCGGUUUGUUGAGGUUGUCUACGAGGCUUACAAGUGUAUACGAUAUAUUGACUGUAAGUUCGCUGCGCGCAAAUGGGCUAUAUUGACUUUAGUAUAAAUUAGUUGAUUGCUGAUAUGCUCUUUAGAGAUAUUUAGUAUUCAUGGGAGAAUUCGAUGUGUUUCUGAUAAUUUAGAUAUAAGCCUUACCAUUUCGGGUAAAAUUGUGUGAGGACAGGUCGAUUAAAGUGUUAACGGAUUGGUUUUCGAAUGGACGAAACGCCUGGUGUCCGUUAUAUAGCUUGAAUGGAUGGGUGUAGGUUAGGUUAGUUAGGUUAGGACUGCGACCAUGUUGCAUACUCAAAGUGAGGUUAUUUAUUACUUAGCAGUGAGCGACAUAAUACGAUUUGCCGAUAUGCUUAAAUCCGCACGUUCCAAUUAGGAACGUAGUAUUUUUUCAUUUAAAAAUAAAAUCAGCAAUUAAAAUAUAAUACUAAAUAUGUGUGCGUAUUUUAAAGGAGAGAAAUCGUAACAAAACAUCAGCAUGAAUCACGAGGAUACCUGUAAUUUACAGCCGAAACGGGUAUUUAUCGGGUUAUGAACCUGUCGAAAACGUUUUGUUACGAAAUCCGAUAGAGUAUCGAAGCGUAUCGUAUUAAUUACACUUAUUUGCACUAAUUAAAGCAUUUUAGCGGGAGAUAUAGCCCGGUACUCGCAUGGCCAAACUCAAACGCAUUCUUGCUUUAUACGAUUGCGUCGAGUAGGUCCGAACAUGCACACAUAUUUAAAUGCCACUAUGCGCACACAAACUACCGAUGGACAUGGAUUUAUGUAGUACAAAAUUUGCAUUACGUGCAAUACGAUGUUUCCGUUGACACGCGAACGAUGUACUGGAUGGAUGGACGUCAUUUACCUAUGCAUGUUUACAUACAGCACGUACAACAAAUGGCGUAAAAAAAUCCUUAAGCCGUUGUAAGACAAUAAUUAUCGCAUUCAUUAAAAUAAUGGGAAGUUUCCUUAUUAUUAAUGAGCGUGAAAAUGUAUUUCAUAAUGCGCUUAACCGAUACAUUACCGUGCGUUAAACCGAUGUUGUUACUCGUAUUUAAUGCCUUAAUUAUAAUAUCGGCCCGAUUCGAAGAAUGAGAUACGAUAACGAUAAGUUCUGGUUCAGAUAAGUUCUCAUUUAGAUAUCGUUUGUAUGUCGUAUAAUUGAGAGAAGCAGCUCGAUUCGGGCAACCAAUGUCACUUUGACAUUAGAAAAAUCGUUGGUAAAUCUUAUUGGGAUCACAGCGGAAUCGAAAUAAACGUCAAUUUUGACAUGUCGUUUAGUUAUCGAUCUUUUAAAGAUCUUAAAAGUGUCUUAAUCAUUAUUUGAAUCGGGCCGUAUGUUAAUUAUCAUUUGAUUCUGGUUGAAUUUAGCUUUGGUCUGUAUUAUGUUAUUAAUAUUAAUUAAAUAUCAAUCUACUACCGAUAUUCAAAUGUAGGAUUCAUCGGGGAAAGCGUGUUAGCCAUGCGGAUACAAUAUAGAUGGUAUCUGAAUUGGAUACGAUUAUUAUAGUCUCCAUUAGUCUGACGUGUGCUGUCAACGCGAUGUACCUCAAUGCUGGUGCCGUUGCGGCACAGACUGCUUCCCACAGACUCUACUCCACAGACUCCAAUAAUUUGCGGUCACCAACUCAACACACCUCUUUUACACACCACUUAUUUGUACCUGUACAAUUUUAUACGGCAACAUGUAUGUUUUCUUCUAGAAUAAUUGUUGGUCGAUUUAUUUAAUAUAGAUAUGAGGGCGCAACUGACUGAAAUGACCAAUUGCGCACUCAUAACUGAAUUGGAGCGCUAAUAUGUGGAUUAGGUUCUGAUCGUGAUUUUUCGUAUAUGUUCCAUCUAGUUGGGACGUUAUCUGUGCGAUACGAGCAAAUUAAGCCGCAUGUGUUUGCCUUCCACCUAUCAACAACAAACGUUCACUUUUAUGUGAAAGGUCUUCAUUAUGUUUCGGCGCUUUGGUAGUUACGAACCGCCCCACACACACAACUAUAGUGUCGUUUAUUGAUUAACAUCAAAGAACCAAGUUAGUUGAGCAACUAUGCCGUGUACGCCUCUGCGAAAAUUUGCUCGCAAGCGAAACUCAUAUAGGUAAGUGCUGUUAACUAAACAUAUUAGAAAUUAGUUGCGUUAUUUACCCUAAUCGACCUGAACGCUAAGUUUCACUAUCACUUUGAUGGUUCCAAGGUUUUGCUUGCCGCUGUAAAAUUGAAUUUCAACUUUGGGCACAUGCUAACCGCUUUACAUGAUUGUAUGGGGGCUCCUUAAUCAGCAAACUAAAAAGAGAUUCAUUGGAAUUAAUGGAAACUAAUUGGGUUUGUUUUAGACUCAAAACAUGUUCCCUUAUUUGUUUGUUCCUUCAAACACAUUCAGACUAUUCAAAAUCGCUCUGUAGCGUCAAUAUAGGCUUUGCGUAACCCGAGAUCCUAAGUUAAUUUCUCAUCGGAAGCAAUGUGAUGCCUAUGAAAGCUGUUUAUUUCACGGAUUACCAAAACGCCUGCGGAAUCAAUUAUUCGGGUUCCCGUGUCAGUCGAGUUAAAACCGUUACAUCGUCAGGCUGAAGUAUUUCAAUUUCGGGGCCGUCGUUUAAACUAAUAUCUACCUAUCACACACGCAACACGACGGAGUUAACUUUGACAUCACUCGGUUCAUCACGAGUUUAAAUUGAAUUGGUUAUAUACACUUUACUUCCACACGUGUUGCGCGAAAUUAAAUAAAGGGUGGCACAGCCGUCAACGUUCGCACAACUUUACGAUUCGAUUGUAUUGUAAUAAAAUGAACAACAUUUUGCGCGGCGAUAGUAAGAUAUUACUGCUCUCUUUGGGAAGUGCUCGUAAAACGUAUCAAUCUUUCUUGUACCGAUCAUUUGUAAAGCGGAAAAAAACUA